UACGUAGGGUGCAAGCGUUGUUCGGAAUUACUGGGUGUAAAGGGAGAGUAGGCGGUUUAGUAAGUUAGAAGUGAAAUGCUCAGGCUUAACUUGAGACCUGCUUUUAAUACUGCUGAACUUGAGUAUGGGAGAGGAAGAUAGAAUUCCAGGUGUAGCGGUGGAAUGCGUAGAUAUCUGGAAGAAUACCAGUUGCGUAGGCGGUCUUCUGGCCCAAUACUGACGCUGAGGCUCGAAAGCUAGGGGAGCAAACAGG
rnacentral:rRNA from 1 species